GGGAUUUGCAUGGUACAGGAAGAUUUACAAUGUAAUGGAUUACUAUUUCAUAAUCUGGGCCAAGGGGAAGAAACUUCAAAUACUGGCUGGGGUUUUUUUUAUGCAUUUCAAACUUUUUUCCAGUUCUGGAAACACAACACUGGGGAGACUGUUGGAGGGUGUUCACGCACAAAAUAUGGCAUCUACAUAUCACUUGUGGGUUUUUGUCUGGAUUUCCAAGCAUGUGUAACUUUAUUCUCUACCUGCGUCAUGUUUUUGGGGCUCCCGUGCUUGUCAUAAUUCAAAACCAAAGAAAUAUGUUAAUAUAAAUUGUGUAGGGAAAAAAAAGUAUUUUUUUACAAAUUAUUAUUAAAUGGCUAUGACUUUACCCGGUGUAAAAUAUAUUCGAAAAAAGAAAGAAGAUUUUUAAAAAAUUCGUAUUAACAAAUUACUACUUAGUUGUGUAGUCAGAACGGUAUUUUUUAAAUUUUAACCACUCAAGAUCACUAACAGAGCAGACAACAGCUCACAACCAUGAAACUCAAAACUAAAGACAAUUUUUCAAAAGCAUUUUCUAUCCAGAAAUUCCAAACUGUCCAAAAUUUUGCUAUACACUCCUUGGAUAGUAAAGGUGGCCUGCUACACAUAAGUGCCAAGAAUGACACUCCCAAAAGAAAAUACACUUAUAAUUCAGUCCUCCCAUCCCAGUUUGUUGCAUUUUUAUUGAUUCAAUGAUGGAAACCCUCUGCAGCCAUCAGUCUAAAAACAGAUAGUGGCUUUUUCAUUGAGCCUUUAAGAUGAGUAGAGAUGAACAGGCUGUCACUUCCCCACAUCACACAGCAACGAAAAGCACUGCUCCAGAGGCCUUAGGUGCAGCAAAAUGAGGUGCAGAAACCUCACCUUUUACAGAAUGGUAUCCCUGCAAUUAAAACAUCAGUAAUGACAGUGAGCUCUUAACGCUUUAUUGCCUUCACAGCCAAAGGAUUAAUUCAGAAUCUGUUAAAAUAAUAAAAGCUUGGAAAGAGUUAAAUUAAGUAUAAAUCAGAAAAUGUGAGUGCCAGUUUGUAUGCAGAGGGAAUGAACUGUAGUCAAAAGGUAUUUUUUAUUCUUAUCAUAAGGAAAAGUUAGUAGUAUUGAAAGCAGAAUUGUUAUUCUGAAUUUAAACGCUCAGUCAGUUUAAAAGUUUUAUCAAAUGAUGGCGAUAUUCCCCUUAGUAUACUAAGAUAACUGACGGAGGCAUUUUUUAUCUGGGCAAAGCCGAUCAGACCAUUUGUAGGGCUCACCUUCAAACCAGGGUUAGGGUUAAGAUUGAGAGAGAAGGUAUGCCUAGAUCUGGAGCUGAAGUGGGGCUGGAAAGGGCUGCCAAAGCAAAGUAUGGGCUGCAAAACAAAACUUUUAUCUGGGCAGGGGCGGGUUUUGGGUUGUUGGAUUUUUGGGUUUUGUUUUUUUUGGGGGGAGUGAGUGGCAGGGAAGGGGUGUUAUUUACUUGGGGGAUUUGGGUUUGUUGUUCUUGUUUAGUUUUUAACAAAAUUUCACCCUGGAACUAGGGUUAGGGUUAUAGUACAAAGUGUGGGACUCAGUAUGUUACACACACACACACACACACACACACACACACACACACACACACACAUAUUUAUACCUCUACAGAAGUGCCCCCAUAAAAUGUGCAUUGUGGAGCAGCUUGAGGAAAAUGGGAUAAUUUCAGAUGCUACAGGUCACUGGAAUCCAACUGAGAUCCCUCCAAACAGUGAAAACUUUGCAGGAGAAGAUAUAAGGCAGCUUGGGAAAAUUAUUUUCUCGGAGACAAUCUGGAUACCUCAAAGAUUUUUGCACCCAGAGGUGCAAAGAAUGUAGGAAGGAGAAAAAAGAAUUUCUUAAGCUGCACAAAAAAUAUGUGCUCCCUCUGCAACAACAAGGAAUGAAGGGCUUUGGGCAAGCUGAUGCCUCAGCAAUGUUGCACGUACCCUGACAGAAACAAGUCUUCAAAUGGGUGGUCUUGACUCUUCAGUACAAGGGACUUAACAUACUCAAAGUGUGUUUUAAGUAGAAGGAGAAAAGUUAUUUCAGCUGAUAAAAUCCUCUGGGAAGUCUCUUGAAACAAAACAGAUUUCCCAAGUCAUCAGCCUUGAGAACAGGGUCCUAGUUCUGAAACAGACUACAGAUGUAAAGUCUCAGAGGCAAGAUUUCAGAUCAGGGACUUGUAAAAGUCAACACAAUUACUGUGAGCGUAUCUACUUGGAGAGUAAUGUUAAAAUAGCUCUAAAUUUGGCUGUUCAGUAGUUGUUUCAAAUGAUUCUUCCAUAUAAGCUCAGGUCUUUUUCAGGCCCUUCUCCAAUUCUUCUUUCAGCAACUUCUUCUGUCAGGACAUAUAUCUAUCAUAUUGAAAAUACUCAUCAAGACAGUGGAACAUAAUAAGAAACCCCCAAAACACCGACUCAUAAUUUUCAAAAGAGGUUGACCUGUUAAAUCUCAGAUAUUUUAAACGGAACAUGUAAUUUUCUGCCAAACUAAAUAAAGCAGCAACUGUGUAUUACUCUCUCUUUGGCUAAUGUGCAUGACCCUAUUGCAUUUGCCAGUGGUAAAAAAGAGCCACAAGUGUUGAAGAAUGUUUUUCAAUUUUGUAUUUUUAACAAUAAGAAUUAACAGGAAACAAUACUAAAAUCAAGACUCACUCAAGUAAGUAUUUCCUGUGGUUUGCAAUUCCUCUCCAAAUCCUCUGAGGUGGGUGAUAGUAACUUUAGAAAAUUAUUGUUGAUUGAAGAUCUGAACAACCCUACUGCUCUCAAAUUCUAGGAUAAAGCAACACAUAUUUU